rnacentral:rRNA from 1 species
UACGGGGGGGGGCAAGCGUUGUUCGGAAUUACUGGGCGUAAAGGGCUGGUAGGCGGCCAACUAAGUCGGAUGUGAAAUCCCCAGGCUUAACCUGGGAACUGCAUCCGAUACUGGUCGGCUUGAAUCCGGGAGAGGGAUGCAGAAUUCCAGGUGUAGCGGUGAAAUGCGUAGAUAUCUGGAGGAAUACCGGUGGCGAAGGCGGCAUCCUGGACCGGCAUUGACGCUGAACAGCGAAAGCGUGGGGGAGCGAACAGG